rnacentral:rRNA from 1 species
AAAGCAACAGCGAUAGCCUCAGUAACGGCGAGUGAAGCGGCUACAGCUCAAAUUUGAAAUCUGGCCUCCUUUGGGGGUCCGAGUUGUAAUUUGCAGAGGAUGCUUUGGCAUUGGCGGCGGUCUAAGUUCCUUGGAACAGGACAUCGCAGAGGGUGAGAAUCCCGUACGUGGUCGCUGGCUAUUGCCGUGUAAAGCCCCUUCGACGAGUCGAGUUGUUUGGGAAUGCAGCUCUAAAUGGGAGGUAAAUUUCUUCUAAAGCUAAAUAUUGGCCAGAGACCGAUAGCGCACAAGUAGAGUGAUCGAAAGAUGAAAAGCACUUUGGAAAGAGAGUUAAAAAGCACGUGAAAUUGUUAAAAGGGAAGGGAUUGCAACCAGACUUGCUCGCGGUGUUCCGCCGGUCUUCUGACCGGUCUACUCGCCGCGUUGCAGGCCAGCAUCGUCUGGUGCCGCUGGAUAAGACUUGAGGAAUGUAGCUCCCUCGGGAGUGUUAUAGCCUCUUGUGAUGCAGCGAGCGCCGGGCGAGGUCCGCGCUUCGGCUAGGAUGCUGGCGUAAUGGUCGUAAUCCGC